UUUGCCAUGUUAAUAUUGUAAAUUACAUAGCUUAACAUUUGAUGAGUGUUGCUCAAAGUUUUUUAAAAUUUAAAAAAAAAAACUCAAAAUGAAAAUCAGAUGAAAUGGAAAGAAUAGGGAAGUCUGUGGAAGCUUGCAGAUUCUCUAGAAUCUAGAUCGAGAACCAGAGCUCGCGAAGACGUAGACGAAGCUCGCAGGGUUCUCUCUCGCACUCCAUGGAAGCUCACAGGGUUCGUCUCUCUCUCUCUCUCUCUCUCUCUCUCUCUCUCUCUCUCUCGCACUCCAUCGAUGGUCGCAGGGUUGGUCUCUCUCGCACUCCAUCGAAGCUCGCAGGGUCUGUCUCUCUUUCUCUCUCGCACUCCAUCGAAGCUCCAAGAUCCUUCUGUCUCUCUCUCUCUCUCUGUCUCGCACUCCAUCGAAGCUCCAAGGUCCAUUUCGUGAGUUCACUCUGUUCCUCUCGCAAACAAAAGAUGGUCAUCAAUUGGUUCGUGAUGGUUUGUCAUUCAGGGCAGAUCCGGAGCGAAAUGAUUACUAUUGACUAUUGAGCAAUCCGACGAGGACUCGUACUUCAUGAGUGAGGAGGAUGAGAGUCGAUGAGAUUGGGCUGGUAUAUGGGUGGCUAGAGCUUACUGUUAUGAGGCGCUUGAUGUUUUGACUGGUUGUGACAGUAUUCUAGGGCAGGGUAGGUUCCCGACUUGCCACUUUUGUGUGGUCCUCCGUUGAUGGGAAUCACUGGGAGUAGUCGGACGUAGAGGUCUGGAGGAGGUCAUUUUGGGCUGACUACUUCCUUCUUUCACUUGUAAUAUAUUUGGAACUACUGAUGCUUUCUGAAAACUUGUAAACCUUGCCUUCGGGCCUAUGUUCAUGACACUAUGAGUUGUAAUUAAUUAUGUUAAGUUUAAUGCAUUGCAUGUUGUGAAA